rnacentral:rRNA from 1 species
AACGAACGCUGGCGGCAUGCCUAACACAUGCAAGUCGAACGAGACCUUCGGGUCUAGUGGCGCACGGGUGCGUAACGCGUGGGAACCUGCCCUUAGGUUCGGAAUAACUCCCCGAAAGGGGUGCUAAUACCGGAUAAUGUCUUCGGACCAAAGAUUUAUCGCCUUUGGAUGGGCCCGCGUUGGAUUAGCUAGUUGGUAGGGUAAAAGCCUACCAAGGCGACGAUCCAUAGCUGGUCUGAGAGGAUGAGCAGCCACACUGGGACUGAGACACGGCCCAGACCCCUCCGGGAGCGCGGGGUGGGGAAAUGUGGACAAGGGGCUAAACGCGUAUCCCCAUUUCCCGGGGGAGUGAAGAAGGCCUUAGGGUUAUAACCCCUUUUCCCCGGGGUGGUAAUGACCGUCCCUGAUGAAUAGGCCCCGCCAAACUCCGU